AAGUCACCCAGUUCCUGGGCUGUGCCUCAGGCAUGAGGGAGCCCCUUAAAGCCAGACAGGACAACUGGUCUCCAGGUAGGAGCGCUUCCCUAUAAAAUGGGUUUGCUUUCUCAGAGUGAUGUUCUUCCAAGACUCAGUGAAAGUGGCCCUUGGAAAAACAGCCUUGGAGCAAGACGUGCUUCCACAGCAGACCUCCUGGGGGAAAUCAUGUCAUUCUGGCUGCAGAGGAAAAACACAAAUACCCGGGCACUGAGUCCCGUGAGUGUACAAUAUAAGGCUUGCACCUGAGCUCACUUCCAAUAGGAGGACAGUGGGGUUGCAGCACCGGGGCCCGUAUCGCGGAAUCCACACAGGACAGAAUGCUGGCAGCAGGCGAGACAUGCUGUGACAUGCUGGCACCAGCCCUGGGAAAGAGAAUAACUCAGGGCUGGGUAGCUUCACUUCCAAAGACACCCAUUCUCUGUGUUUGCUUCCAAAGCAUUAAACGGUGACCUAACCCA